UUUUUAUUGGCCGACUGGGCACUCAGCAGGUGUGUAGCUUGGCAAGCUUUGGUGAGCCCAGGCACAGUCUUCAUUCCUGCUACUGUGACCAAUUUACCUGGGUCCACUGAACAAGCACUGAGGAGGUGAUGGAAAGAGGCAGCCUGAAAGAAACUGAAUAGAUCAUUUUGUCCACCUGGUUUUCAAGAGUUUCCAUUGAAGUGAUCUCUCUCUCCUACUCAUCCUUAUCAUCAUUUUCCAAUUUUGCUCUUGUCAAGUCUCCCUGACCAUCCAGCCAAUACUGUUAGCUCCUGACUUUGAGUCAGUAUUGGUCUAGAUCUCCACUAUUUUUCCUUUUUCAUGAAGUAGACAGUGGAUAUACUUCUCAAAGUCCUGCCCAUGAGGUGGAUUUACAUUAACCACUGUCCUUCAUGGCCUGAAGGACCCUUUGCAGAUCCCAUCUGUUACCAUGUCCAGGAAUUUUCCUCCUGUCUUGACUCAUCCCAGAGACUCCCUACAACACCAUAGAUGGAUUGAGGGAGAUGUUGAAAACAUCAGGGCAGGAACCAUGGGAAAUUGUGCUUCCUGUUUGUACCUCCCAAACAUGUUUGACUCAUCCUCACUGUAUCAUUUCCAACUUACAGUACAUAGUCAAUUUUGUGAUUUGGGGAUCAAAGAAAUCUUUAUACUUUUAAUACUUUGUAAUGUGGCCUGUAGAAUAGCCUCUUUUAAUGCUUUUAUUUACGUAUUCAUGAAAAUAUCCAUGUAAUGAUUACUUUUUAUGUUUAAAACUCUGCAUAUCAUAGGUCAUUUACAUGUGGUCACUUACUGCCCCAUGUCUGGCAUUCAGUCUCUGCUAGGACAUGGUAACAAGCCAGAAACUGUAUUUCAACUGGAGAAUCAGUCAGUAGAGAAGGUUGUGACUUGCUGAAGGCUCAUUUGCAGUACCAACCGGAAGCUGGCACCUGCAAAUUCUCCUACAGAAGAGGAAAGAGCUGCCACAGGAUUUGAAGGAUGAGAAGAGCAGGGCAUACCACCAACGAAAAAGUGCCAUCUGGGCCAGGAUCCCAGGAGAGAAGGGAAAGAGAACAAAUGGCAGAUCAAAAGUUUGGAUCAGAAACGCAUGCAGUGUUUAGAGUAGGUCUGAGCAUGGUGUGCCUUUGAUUUCAAAGACUGCUCCGUGCCUGGAUAUGUUUUGUAGACUGGGAACGUGAUGGUAACUGGCCCUAGGGAUGCACAGAGGAACACUGGGUUACCAGAGGCGAAGGCAGAGAUGACUAAGUCUGAGAAGGAAGCAUGAAGGAAAUGUUGCCUAGUAUGCUAAGGCUGGAACUCCCAUUAGCAAUUGUUCUGAGAAAGUGCCGAUGAUAUUUCGCCAUAGAGCAAGAUUUUUCAAAUUUUGUGGGCUUGGUAUUGAGUCUCUCAUGAGUUGGUGGUUUGUUAUAUUAUCUGUUAAUAAGAGAAAGGUGAAGAUUGAAUUAUCUUGCCCUUCAACCUUAUUUUAUCCCUUUGCAUUCUAGAGAGAGAACUGCAUGACUAUAAAACACAAAGGUGUUUGGCUGUCCUAAGGUUGUCCAAACUUUUGUAAUAUUCCUGAAAAUAUCAAGGUAAUGAUCAGCCUUUUAUAUUUAAAACAAGAUGUUAGAUUCAAAGUAAAAAAAAAAUCUACCAAGAACAUAAAUCAGAACAUUCAUUUUCAAAACCAAAUGAAAUAGUGCUCAAACAUGCACCCUUUUUUCCUCAGGCAAUGUCUAGAAAUACCAAGUAAGCCUAAAAUUACAAUGGCCUUAUUAGAUGCUGGUCAAAGAAGUCUCCACAGAGUCAGUACAUCUGUUCUAGCAUCUUCUAAAACCAUCAACCUUGCUGAGAAUAGUGACAAGACAGGAAAGAAAAGAAUAAUAAUAUUCUAAUGUCCUUAUGAAAAGGACAUCAUUGUCAUUCACCCCAUUGUAAUGCUUUUAUUUUUAUUUUACUGAAUAAAAAGUCAAUUAUAUUUGAUAUUAUGUCAAUCAUGCUUUCUAUCUAGAUAAUAGAUUUUUAAACUUUUAUAUUCUUUUUCAAGGGUGUACUUGGAACUCUAUAGAGCUGCCUGUAGCCAUAACUAAAUAAAAAACUUGGUUUUACAUUAAGACACUCAGAAGUUCACUUACAAGUCUUCAGAAUGCAAAGAGAGAUUAAAUUGUAUCAUGGAAAUUGUGAGACUUUUGGGUAAGAAUGGGCAAAAGGAAUAUUGCUAUUAUUUUCAGCUUUCAGGUACUGGAAAUAGUUAAAUAUUUUCAAAGUAUUUUUAAAAAGUACUCCUUGGACAACUCCAGGUAUCAAGUGUUUUCAGAAUAAACAGAAAGUUCCUGGUCUGUUUGGAACCAGGAUUUGCUGAAAACCACUUCAUCGCAUUCUGUCCAGGGAUGCCAGUGUUGACUGGAAUGCACAUUGUUAAAACUCAAUCUCUAGGAAAAGAAAUUUUAUUUUAUUAGCCGAGUUAAUGGAAAUGCUUUUGAUUCCAUUCCAGCUUUCUAGAAAUUUAUAUACUAAAUAUUUAAUAUCUUGAGCCAGUGGAUAAUUAAGAAACCCAAAUUUUAAUGUCUGCUUUUGACUGAUUUUUUUCACAGGUAAAGAAUAUACGUUUACCUUUGAGGGAAAUUCAUUUGAAGUCUCUAGAACUUCUAAGUACUUAUAAUUGUAGAUAACAAAAAUUAUUUUAGGCCAUUGCCUCCUGUGAAUUCCUGUGUUCCUGAACUGGGAAAAGAUCUAGGCCUAGGAAUAUAAAAGGUGACUCUGGACAUGCUUUGCUUGUUAGGUACUAAUAUUAGUGAAUAUUCUUCAAUCUGAUGUUUUAUAGCAAUAAAUUCACUUUCAGAGUUUUUAAUCAAAUGCUUUAUGUAUAAGUUGACAGUAGAUUAUUUUCAGUUAUUUGCUGUAGGAUAUUUCAAGAGACCUGGAGAAGUAAAAAAUGUAAAACAAUUCAAAAUCUUUAUUUAGAUUUUAUUUAUCUUUUAUGUUUACAUCCAUCACGAACAUAUGGGGUAUGCCUUAUGUUCUCAGAAUUUACCUCAAACAAAAUAAUGAAAUUCUGUGGAAUCUAGAGCAAAUAGAAAUCUUUCUAUGUAUGUCAUUUUCUAUUUUAUUAUCCAUAAAAAUCUGUAUUUAUGCUAUAAAUAAAUCCAUUUCUGAUCACGUGAAAUAUUUGGUGUCAUAAGUAUGGCAAAUAAAUCAUAAACUGA